rnacentral:rRNA from 1 species
ACGUAGGGGGCCAGCGUUGUUCGGAAUUACUGGGUGUAAAGGGUUCGUAGGCGGUGCGGCAAGUUGGGAGUGAAAUCUCUGGGCUUAACCCAGAGGCUGCUUCCAAAACUGCUGUGCUUGAGUGUGAGAGAGGCUCGUGGAAUUGCAGGUGUAGCGGUGAAAUGCGUAGAUAUCUGCAGGAACACCCGUGGCGAAAGCGGCGAGCUGGAUCACUACUGACGCUGAGGAACGAAAGCUAGGGGAGCAAACAGG